rnacentral:rRNA from 1 species
GAUGAACGCUGGCGGCGUGCCUAAUACAUGCAAGUCGAACGAAGUACAAGAAGCUUGCUUCUUUGCUGACGAGUGGCGGACGGGUGAGUAAUGUCUGGGAAACUGCCUGAUGGAGGGGGAUAACUACUGGAAACGGUAGCUAAUACCGCAUAACGUCGCAAGACCAAAGAGGGGGACCUUCGGGCCUCUUGCCAUCGGAUGUGCCCAGAUGGGAUUAGCUUGUUGGUGGGGUAACGGCUCACCAAGGCGACGAUCCCUAGCUGGUCUGAGAGGAUGACCAGCCACACUGGAACUGAGACACGGUCCAG